rnacentral:rRNA from 1 species
AUUGAACGCUGGCGGCAGGCCUAACACAUGCAAGUCGAGCGGAUGAAGGGAGCUUGCUCCUGGAUUCAGCGGCGGACGGGUGAGUAAUGCCUAGGAAUCUGCCUGGUAGUGGGGGAUAACGUCCGGAAACGGGCGCUAAUACCGCAUACGUUCUGAGGGAGAAAGUGGGGGAUCUUCGGACCUCACGCUAUCAGAUGAGCCUAGGUCGGAUUAGCUAGUUGGUGGGGUAAAGGCCUACCAAGGCGACGAUCCGUAGCUGGUCUGAGAGGAUGAUCAGUCACACUGGAACUGAGACACGGUCCAGACUCCUACGGGAGGCAGCAGUGGGGAAUAUUGGACAAUGGGCGAAAGCCUGAUCCAGCCAUGCCGCGUGUGUGAAGAAGGUCUUCGGAUUGUAAAGCACUUUAAGUUGGGAGGAAGGGCAGUAAGUUAAUACCUUGCUGUUUUGACGUUACCAACAGAAUAAGCACCGGCUAACUUCGUG